UGCGGAAGGAUCAUUACAGAGUUCCUGCCCUCACGGGUAGAAACCCCACCCUUGUGUAUAUUAUAUUGUUGCUUUAGCAGGUCGCCCUCUGGGGCGUCGGCCUCGGCUGACUGUGCCUGCUAGAGGACCCUAAACUUUGAAAUACAGUGUCGUCUGAGUACUAUUUAAUAGUUAAAACUUUCAACAACGGAUCUCUUGGUUCUGGCAUCGAUGAAGAACGCAGCGAAAUGCGAUAAGUAAUGUGAAUUGCAGAAUUCAGUGAAUCAUCGAAUCUUUGAACGCACAUUGCGCCCCUUGGUAUUCCGGGGGGCAUGCCUGUUCGAGCGUCAUUUAGACCAACUCCCGCUCCGGCGGGGUCUUGGGCUGCGCCUUUGGGCGGGCCUUAAAACCAGUGGCGGUGCCCUAAGGCUCUACGCGUAGUAAUUCUUCUCGCGAUAGGGUCCUUGCGGUGUCUUGCCAGCAACCCCCAACUCUCUAGGGUUGACCUCGGAUCAGGUAGGGAUACCCGCUGAACUUAAGCAUAUCAAAAGCCGGG
rnacentral:rRNA from 1 species